AGCGAACGCUGGCGGCAGGCCUAACACAUGCAAGUCGAACGAACUCUUCGGAGUUAGUGGCGGACGGGCGAGUAACACGUGGGAACGUGCCUUUUGGUUCGGAAUAACUCAGGGAAACCUGUGCUAAUACCGAAUGUGCCCUUCGGGGGAAAGAUUUAUCGCCAUUAGAGCGGCCCGCGUCUGAUUAGCUAGUUGGUGAGGUAACGGCUCACCAAGGCGACGAUCAGUAGCUGGUCUGAGAGGAUGACCAGCCACACUGGGACUGAGACACGGCCCAGACUCCUACGGGAGGCAGCAGUGGGGAAUCUUGCGCAAUGGGCGAAAGCCUGACGCAGCCAUGCCGCGUGAAUGAUGAAGGUCUUAGGAUUGUAAAAUUCUUUCACCGGGGACGAUAAUGACGGUACCCGGAGAAGAAGCCCCGGCUAACUUCGUG
rnacentral:rRNA from 1 species